AUUACAAUUUUUGCUACAUAACUAUUAAUAUGAGUGUAAAUAUAUUCUGUAGUUAAAUAAGUUAUAUUAAUCAAUUAUAUAAUUAUUCAUCAAGACAUAUACGUCAUAGCCAAUUAACAAACAAUAAAACAUUGAAUAAAAACGUGGAGAAGGGAGAUUGGAAUUUCCAAAAUCCUUAUGAGGCUUUAAUUAAGUCCACUGGGUGCUCGGACCCAAUCGAUAGUGGCUUAACUUCACACUUCAAGUCCGAUGUUGGCUUUGAAGAGGAUAUUGUGGUUUGAAACGCUCGGGAGACUGUUUCAGCCUCAGGUUUUGCGGCUGGUUGGGUUAGGAGUGUGGCCUGCUUGACAGCAGGAAGGGAUUCAAGAACAACAGAGGGGAAGGCCCACUUUAUUAGUGAUGGGAAUUUGACAGGUCUCACAUUUGAGACGAAUUCUUGAGAGGAACCCUCAGAAAUAUACAUGUCUCCAAGAUGGAGCCAAUGCCAUUGAGAUUUUCAUUUAAGCUUGCAAGGACUUCAUUCCAGUCCUCCUGUUUCAUAGCAAGCUUUAAAAGAUCCUCCAAAUCUUGGUAGUGAUUCCAACGUGCCAUAAUGUCUAUAAACGAAGAAAAGUCAUAUGGUGAAGGGUGCUGAGAAAGCUAAGGAGCUAACGGUGUUCCGUUGUAUAAGUUUUUCCCAAAUGUCAGACUCCAGAAGAGAAAAAACAAAACACUAAGCACUUAAUAACACUAAAUACACUAAAGUAGGUUUGGUGAUUUAAGAUGUAGCUAUUAGCUAAGCACCCAUAGCUAUUACGAGGUAUUUUUAUUGGCAGUUUGGCAUAGUAAGGCAGUGGUAGAUUAAAAUAUUUUGUCUGCUAGUUUGAAGGGAAGUUAUUUUCAACGUCAGCAAUGGAUAAGCAGAUGAUUGAUUCACUUUUUAUAACGUCAUCAUAUUGGAUUAUAAUUUCCCCAGUUGGGAUUAUGCAUAGUUAUUUUUACUCACGUCAUACAUUAAAUUGAAUUAUCAAUAAUAACGAAACGCAAAAUGAAGCGAUUGCCAAUAAAUCUGGAAGAAAUUAAAGUUACAAUAUCAUACAUUGGUUCAAAUACUCUUUUGUCAGACCCUCUGCUAUGGAAUCGUUGAAUAUUUAUAUAAUAACUGAGGAGUAAUACUGGAAUGAAAUAUAUAGCGAGGAACAAAGAGACUGAUCAUCCUUCAAUUGCAUGUCUUCCAUUGGAUUAAGCUUGAAAGUCAUUUUCUGAAUUAUUAAAUGACUUAGUCAUUAUAUUCAAAUAUUAAUAUUUAAUAAAUAAAUUAAGGAUAUGUAAACAA
rnacentral:lncRNA from 1 species